UACGUAGGGACCAAGCGUUGUUCGGAUUUACUGGGCGUAAAGGGCGCGUAGGCGGCUCGGUAAGUCACUUGUGAAAUCUCUGAGCUUAACUCAGAACGGCCAAGUGAUACUGCAGUGCUAGAGUGUGGAAGGGGCAAUCGGAAUUCUUGGUGUAGCGGUGAAAUGCGUAGAUAUCAAGAGGAACACCUGAGGUGAAGACGGGUUGCUGGGCUGACACUGACGCUGAGGCGCGAAAGCCAGGGGAGCAAACGGG
rnacentral:rRNA from 1 species